rnacentral:snRNA from 1 species
AGCCGAGUAGUGAACACAAAGCGAAUUAUUCUUUCGCCUUUUACUAAAGAAUACCGUGUGUUCGUUAUUUAAAUCGGCGUACGCCAAUUUUUGUAGGGUUUCUCUCCUUUGAGAGAAC